CCUACGGGGGGCUGCAGUGAGGAAUAUUGGUCAAUGGGAGCAAUCCUGAACCAGCAAUGCCGCGUGUGGGAUGACGGGGCUCUGCCUUGUAAACCACUGUCGGAUGGGACGAAAAGAGAUAUCAAUCUCCGAGACGGUACCAUCAAAGGAAGGGUCGGCUAACUACGUGCCAGCAGCCGCGGUAAUACGUAGGACCCAAGCGUUGUCCGGAUUCACUGGGUAUAAAGGGUGCGUAGGCGGUCUUGUGCGUCAGAGGUGAAAUAUCCGAGCUUAAC
rnacentral:rRNA from 1 species